rnacentral:rRNA from 1 species
UUCGUCCAAUUGAAGCAGAGGACAGUGGCGGACGGGUGAGUAACGCGUGAGGAACCUGCCUUUCAGAGGGGGACAACAGUUGGAAACGACUGCUAAUACCGCAUGACGCAUAGGGGUCGCAUGAUCUUUAUGCCAAAGAUUUAUCGCUUCAAGAUGGCCUCGCGUCUGAUUAGCUAGUUGGUGAGGUAACGGCCCACCAAGGCGACGAUUGGUAGCCGGACUGAGAGGUUGAACGGCCACAUUGGGACUGAGACACGGCCCAGACUCC